UGGUAGUCCACGGCGUAAACGAUGUCGACAUGGAGGUUGUUCCCUUGAGGAGUGGCUUCCGGAGCUAACGCGUUAAGUCGACCGCCUGGGGAGUACGCCCGCAAGGUUAAAACUCAAAUGAAUUGACGGGGGCCCGCACAAGCGGUGGAGCAUGUGGUUUAAUUCGAUGCAACGCGAAGACCUUUACAUACUCUUGACAUCCAGAGAAAUUAGCAGAGAUGCUUUGGUGCCUUCGGGAACUGUGAGACAGGUGCUGCAUGGCUGUCGUCAGCUCGUGUUGUGAAAUGUUGGGUUAAGUCCCGCAACGAGCGCAACCCUUAUCCUUUGUUGCCAGCGAUUGGGUCGGGAACUCAAAGGAGACUGCCGGUGAUAAACCGGAGGAAGGUGGGGAUGACGUCAAGUCAUCAUGGCCCUUACGAGUAGGGCUACACACGUGCUACAAUGGCGCAUACAAGAGAAGCGACCUCGCGAGAGCAAGCGGACCUCACAAAGUGCGUCGUAGUCCGGAUCGGAGUCUGCAACUCGACUCCGUGAAGUCGGAAUCGCUAGUAAUCGUGGAUCAGAAUGCCACGGUGAA
rnacentral:rRNA from 1 species